rnacentral:rRNA from 1 species
CGAAGAACCUUACCUGGUCUUGACAUCCCGGAGACCCUUAGGAAACUAGGGGUGCUUCCAUCUGGAGAAUCUGGAGACAGGUGCUGCAUGGCUGUCGUCAGCUCGUGUCGUGAGAUGUUGGGUUAAGUCCCGCAACGAGCGCAACCCUUGCCUUUAGUUGCCAGCAGUUCGGCUGGGCACUCUAAAGGGACUGCCGGUGUUAAACCGGAGGAAGGUGGGGAUGACGUCAAGUCCUCAUGGCCUUUAUGACCAGGGCUACACACGUACUACAAUGGCCGAUACAAAGGGCAGCGACACUGCGAGGUGAAGCCAAUCCCGUAAAAUCGGUCUCAGUCCGGAUUGGAGUCUGCAACUCGACUCCAUGAAGUUGGAAUCGCUAGUAAUCGUGGAUCAGCAUGCCACGGUGAAUACGUUCCCGGGCCUU